CAGCCGCCGCGGGAAUACGUAGGGUGCAAGCGUUAAUCGGAAUUACUGGGCGUAAAGCGUGCGCAGGCGGUUCGCUAAGACAGAUGUGAAAUCCCCGGGCUUAACCUGGGAACUGCAUUUGUGACUGGCGGGCUAGAGUAUGGCAGAGGGGGGUAGAAUUCCACGUGUAGCAGUGAAGUGCGUAGAGAUGUGGUGGAAUACCGAUGGCGAAGGCAGCCCCCUGGGCCAAUACUGGCGCUCAUGCACGAAAGCGUGGGGAGCAAACAGGAUUAGAUACCCCUGUAGUCCCUGUCUCUUAUAC
rnacentral:rRNA from 1 species